rnacentral:lncRNA from 1 species
CAAGAGUGUGCUGUGGUGAAGGCGAUGUGUAAACUGAUGUUUUUCAUUCGUUUUCUCAUUCAUUCCAUUGUCCCAAGAGCCUGCGGUGUAGGCAGGGUGGCCUCCGGGAGGGCAGUUUCCAGAGAUGAAUUUCCUUCUCCUCCACCACUGCCCAUGGGCUCUGAGGGUGACGGAGAUCCAGUAGGUCACCUCGUCCCUCGUUCCCGGAACACUUGCCAUGUUAUCAGCAUGGCUCCGAAUCCUAUAUCCACCCUCCAGCCACACCCUUGUGACACUUGGAAUCAAAGCCGCCCAGCAUCAGAGCAUGGACGAUCAAGGUGGACUUACCCGCUCAGAAAGAAUGUGGGGCUUCCGUCGAGGGAGACCGCAAUGACCUUCCUUUGAAAAGAAAAAUGUCCUUGCAAGUAGGUAAAUAAAAAAAAAAAAAAAAAAAAGAAAAAGAAAAAG